rnacentral:rRNA from 1 species
UACGGGGGGAGCAAGCGUUGUUCGGAUUUACUGGGCGUAAAGGGCGCGUAGGCGGCCAGCGCAAGUCAGAUGUGAAAUCCCCGGGCUUAACCUGGGAACUGCGUUUGAAACUGGAAGGCUAGAGUGUGGCAGAGGGGGGUGGAAUUCCACGUGUAGCAGUGAAAUGCGUAGAUAUGUGGAGGAACACCGAUGGCGAAGGCAGCCCCCUGGGCCGACACUGACGCUCAGGCACGAAAGCGUGGGGAGCAAACAGG